rnacentral:rRNA from 1 species
UACGUAGGGGGGCAAGCGUUGUCCGGAUUUAUUGGGCGUAAAGAGCGUGUAGGCGGCCAGGUAGGUCGGUUGUGAAAACUGGAGGCUCAACCUUCAGAGGUCGACCGAAACCAUCUGGCUAGAGUCCGGGAGAGGAGAGUGGAAUUCCUGGUGUAGCGGUGAAAUGCGCAGAUAUCAGGAGGAACACCCGUGGCGAAAGCGGCUCUCUGGAACGGUACUGACGCUGAGACGCGAAAGCGUGGGGAGCGAACAGG